rnacentral:rRNA from 1 species
AACGAACGCUGGCGGCAUGCCUAACACAUGCAAGUCGAACGAGACCUUCGGGUCUAGUGGCGCACGGGUGCGUAACGCGUGGGAACCUGCCCUUAGGUUCGGAAUAACUCCCCGAAAGGGGUGCUAAUACCGGAUAAUGUCUUCGGACCAAAGAUUUAUCGCCUUUGGAUGGGCCCGCGUUGGAUUAGCUAGUUGGUAGGGUAAAAGCCUACCAAGGCGACGAUCCAUAGCUGGUCUGAGAGGAUGAUCAGCCACACUGGGACUGAGACACGGCCCAGACUACUACGGGAGGCAGCAGUGGGGAAUAUUGGAAUAUGGGCGAAAGCCUGAUCCAGCAAUGCCGCGUGAGUGAUGAAGGCCUUAGGGUUGUAAAGCUCUUUUACCCGGGAUGAUAAUGACAGUACCGGGAGAAUAAGCUCCGGCUAACUCCGUG